GAUGAACGCUGGCGGCGUGCCUAAUACAUGCAAGUCGAGCGAAUGGAUUAAGAGCUUGCUCUUAUGAAGUUAGCGGCGGACGGGUGAGUAACACGUGGGUAACCUGCCCAUAAGACUGGGAUAACUCCGGGAAACCGGGGCUAAUACCGGAUAACAUUUUGAACCGCAUGGUUCGAAAUUGAAAGGCGGCUUCGGCUGUCACUUAUGGAUGGACCCGGGUCGCAUUAGCUAGUUGGUGAGGUAACGGGUCACCAAGGCAACGAUGCGUAGCCGACCGGAGAGGGUGAUCGGCCACACUGGGACUGAGACACGGCCCAGACUCCUACGGGAGGCAGCAGUAGGGAAUCUUCCGCAAUGGACGAAAGUCUGACGGAGCAACGCCGCGUGAGUGAUGAAGGCUUUCGGGUCGUAAAACUCUGUUGUUAGGGAAGAACAAGUGCUAGUUGAAUAAGCUGGCACCUUGACGGUACCUAACCAGAAAGCCACGGCUAACUACGUGCCAGCCGCCGCCGUAA
rnacentral:rRNA from 1 species